rnacentral:rRNA from 1 species
GACGAACGCUGGCGGCGUGCCUAAUACAUGCAAGUCGAGCGAACGGAUGGGAGCUUGCUCCCUGAUGUUAGCGGCGGACGGGUGAGUAACACGUGGGCAACCUGCCUGUAAGACUGGGAUAACUUCGGGAAACCGGAGCUAAUACCGGAUAAUUUCUUUCCUCGCAUGGGGAAAGGUUGAAAGACGGCUUCGGCUGUCACUUACAGAUGGGCCCGCGGCGCAUUAGCUAGUUGGUGAGGUAACGGCUCACCAAGGCGACGAUGCGUAGCCGACCUGAGAGGGUGAUCGGCCACACUGGGACUGAGACACGGCCCAGACUCCUACGGGAGGCAGCAGUAGGGAAUCUUCCGCAAUGGACGAAAGUCUGACGGAGCAACGCCGCGUGAGUGAUGAAGGUCUUCGGAUCGUAAAACUCUGUUAUCAGGGAAGAACAAGUAUCGGAGUAACUGCCGGUACCUUGACGGUACCUGACCAGAAAGCCACGGCUAACUACGUGC